ACGGCUGAGGUUGCGCACGCGAUCAGUACCCCUCCGGUUUGGCAAUUGCCGGGGACGGGAAAGGCGCCUGCGCCGAAGGGUUUGCUUGAUGCCAAGCGGGCGGAUCCUGGGGCCGCGCAGAAUAUGCGCGGAACUGUCAUCCAGAUGGAUGGAGUGCUGCCGGG
rnacentral:ncRNA from 1 species